AUGGGGAUAGGUCAUUGUAGCCCACUGUCGAAUGCCAAGCGGAAAUUGCCACCAGGUAGCCCGCAGAGCACGUCUGCCAAGAGAAGGAAACCCAGGCUUCGAAUCAGCAGUCUACCCAAUGAUAUUUUGAGCUCCAUCACAUCUAAACUGUCAUUGAAGGAAGCUGCCAGGACAAGCAUCUUGUCGAGCCAGUGGCGUCGUGUUUGGUUGUGCCGCGCCUACAUUGAUCUCAGUCAUCACACAGUCUUGUCGGAGUCCGACAAGGAACGAUCCUGGACUGGUCCUCGAGGAUUCAUCUUCAAUGAACUCCCAGCAACUCUCCCACGUCUUGAGAUGCUCUCAUUAAGUUGCACACAACUUGAGAAGGUUGAUUCAGUGAGCAGGCUUUCCAAAUUUCGUUCUCUGCAUCAUUUGAUAUUAAACUGGACUAUUUCUGACUCUGCACGCGGGACAACUGAUAUCCUCGACCUUGGUUGUCUCCUAGAGGCUGCCCCUUUCAUGGAAAAACUAGAAUUGCAUAUGGUAAUGGACCAUUUCCUACACAAGCGGUACUGUCAUGAAGACGGCGAGCUGAGGAGUCUCCCUUCAUGCCCGCACUCACAUCUCAGUUUGGUGCAUAUAAGCGGAUUCAUCGGCGAGAAAGAUCAACUGGAGCUGGCGCUUCAUAUUCUCCACAAUGCUGCGGUUCUCAAAGCAUUGAAGAUCGAUCCAUGGCCGAGAACAGCUAACCCUGUACGAGCGCGCGUCAAGUCGGAAAACCGUCUUGCCAGUGGCUGGAGUGUUGCAUUGGAAUUUCUUUGCAAAGAUGAUCACCGCAAUGUCGUCAGCGUGCUUGAAGAUGUGGGGGAGUAG
rnacentral:rRNA from 1 species